GGUGGAUGCCUUGGGUCUGAAAGUCGAUGAAGGACGCGAUUACCUGCGAUAAGCUUCGUGGAGUUGGAAAUAAACCUAAUGAAUAACCGGAAGAUUUCCGUGCAAUGGGGUAACCUAACUGAGCAAACCUCAGUUGCAUUUUGAUGAAUCCAUAGUCAAAUUAGCGAGACACGUUGCGAAACUGAAACAUCUAAGGUACC
rnacentral:rRNA from 1 species